GGCCUCGUAGCUCAGCUGAUCGAGCGUGCGUGUGCAAAGCGUGGGCAGCAUCCAUGCGUAGGUUCGAAUCCCACUGGGGCUA
rnacentral:tRNA from 1 species